rnacentral:rRNA from 1 species
UACGUAGGUGGCAAGCGUUGUCCGGAAUUACUGGGCGUAAAGGGCGUGUAGGCGGUUUUUUAAGUCAGGCGUGAAACCUAUGGGCUUAACCUGUAGACUGCGUUUGAGACUGAGAGACUUGAGGAUCGGAGAGGGCAGUGGAAUUCCCAGUGUAGCGGUGAAAUGCGUAGAUAUUGGGAGGAACACCAGUGGCGAAGGCGACUGCCUGGACGACACCUGACGCUGAGGCGCGAAAGCCAGGGGAGCAAACGGG